UGUAGGCUAUAAGAAAUUGUGUUUAAAUACUGGCCCAUUUUACCUGAACAGCUGGCCCCUGAAACGGCUCAUGCAAAAAAAAGUCGGCACAUCUGAUGUUUCAAGAACUGUGGGGCCUAAAUAAUUUUAUUUUAUUACAAAAUUUCAACACAAAUGUAUCAAAACAGUCAUAAUUAGUCAUGAAAACACAUGGAUAAGGCAUAUGGUAUUAUUGUCCCAAACAAUUUACCAAAAAGUGGUCCAAUUUAGCUGAUAUCACCCUAGUAAUAGGCUAAUUAUAUUUUAAUGAUAUAAAAUGUACUUUCCCCAUAGCUACAUGAGAUAAGAUGUUAAGAUGAUAACGUGAUAAGAUGUUCUGCUUUAGAAUGUCGAGCAAUAGAUUUCAUAUUAUCGCGGGAUCAGCUGUUUUGAUGAACUUCACGAGAGUUCGCACACCAUUCUGCCAGCGAGUGCGGAGUUUUGCAUGACCACAAAUAUGCAAAGCAGAUUUCUGAUUAACAUCACGGGAUCAGCCAUUUUGAAAAACUUCUCAAGUGAGAGUGAGAGAGAUCGCCCGCCAUUUCUGCCAGUGCUGAGUUGUGCAUGACAUGUCAAAUUGCGAUUGCACUGCAAAGCAGAUUUCUGAUUAACAUCACGGGAUCAGCCAUUUUGAAAAACUUCUCAAGUGAGAGUGAAAGAGAUCGCCCGCCAUUUCUGCCAGUGCUGAGUUGUGCAUGACAUGUCAAA